rnacentral:sRNA from 1 species
AACUUCAAGAUUUAUUAUUAGCUCAUCAAAUUGUUCAUCCGGUUCCCGUUUCCUCUACAAACCCUAGCUUCACAUCAAUACUCACGCCAUCAUACUCCCUAGAGGAGCCUGAAAAUGCCCCGCCGCGCAUUUCCCCGGCUCCUCAAUCUCCAUUUCAGCCGCUCUAAUCAUCACAGUCUUUUUCAACCCUUCAAACCUGCUGACCGUGUCCCAGUACAAGCGCCCCUCUACCCUCGACGCAGCUACCAUAUUUACAACCAACCACUCAACCAAGUACGCCCUCAAUGGCUCUUCUUCCUUCGCAUAGUGUUCUGCCAGUGUACCAGGCGGAGCCGCAGGUGGGCUUCCCGUCCCAUUGGGGUUAUUUGCAUCCGUGAUGUGAUUGGUGUCCAGACGUGGAAAAACAUAUGCAAUCAUUGUUAGCAUUGUCUUGUAGCUGAUAACGGGGAAUCCAAGACGGAGUUUCCGUAGGACGAGUGCUUGCAAGGCAGGUAUCUCGAAUGUCUGCGCCAGCGUAUAGAUGUAGCCGCAGCGCAGGACUUCAUUUUCAUGUUCUUCGUGGGUGACAAGACCUUCAAGAUAGAAGGUUAUGCCGCGAUUACGGGACGUGGAAGGCUUGUUCUCAAGAUGGUGGUGGCUUUUCCGUGAAGUGAUGAGCUGCGGGGUAUAUUCACCAAUCUCCAGAAAGGAGAGUAGCACUGCAAAAUCGGCGUGGGAGGUGUUGUCAAGAAUCGGAUCGCUGGCAGUGGUGGUUUGGUUCUUUCUCAUGAGGCUGCUCUCCAGAAGGCCGGAUUUGGCUACGCAAUGACGUGGGAUGUUGUAGAUUUUGCGACUCGUUCCUACGCCAAUGUAUACAUCCACUCUGCCCAGGAGAGGCUCCUUGCUGUUGUGUUGUUAGUCAUGCAUUGCAGAUAUCCAGACCAAGAAAAGUGGAAUUAGUAAAUAAAUGCCA